rnacentral:misc_RNA from 1 species
AGUAUCAGUGCAACACCGACCUGUAUGCAUGAAACAUAAUGAAAUAAAUAUAAGGAACCAACAGGCUAUUAAACUAGAAAGAAAUGAUUCUGACAAGUUAUUUUAAAUAUUUCCAAUCUUCAAUGACAAUCAUCUACACCAGAGCAUGAUCCAAACUAAAUGAUUACAUGAAUUUAAGAAGUGAAGUUCUUUGAAAUGGUCAUGUUAACCCACAGGAAAAUAUAAAAUCUUAGACAUCUAUGAUGCCCUAAUUGAAACUUGUGAACAGAAUUUAAUUUCUCUGGUAAAAGGACAUCCGAGCACUACUGUCACAAAUGAAAAACUAAAAAUAUGCUUAAAUAUCAUC